rnacentral:rRNA from 1 species
UGGCGGCGUGUCUUAGCAUGCAAGUUGAGCGGCAAGGGCAGCAAUGCCCCUAGAGCGGCGGACUGGUGAGUAACGCGUGGGUGAUCUACCCAAGGCAUGGGGAUAGCCAUUAGAAAUAGUGGGUAAUACCGAAUACGCUUAUGCAGGUGAGCUGCAUAAGGAAAGGUGCUACGGCACCGGCCUAGAGAUGAGCCCGCGUCCCAUUAGCUAGUUUGUGAGGUAACGGCCCACCAAGGCGAUGAUGGGUAGCCGGCCUGAGAGGGUGUACGGCCACACUGGGACUGAGAUACGGCCCAGACUCCUACGGGAGGCAGCAGCUAAGAAUAUUCCGCAAUGGACGAAAGUCUGACGGAGCGACGCCGCGUGGAUGAAGAAGGCCGAAAGGUUGUAAAAUCCUUUUGCUGGGGAAGAAUAACCGCAGGAGGGAAUGCCUGUGGGAUGACAAGAACCGGCGAAUAAGCCCCGGCCAACUACGUGCCAGCAGCCGCGGUAACACGUAGGGGGCGAGCGUUGUUCGGAAUUACUGGGCGUAAAGGGCAUGUAGGCGGCUUGGAAAGCCUGGCGUGAAAGUCUGCGGCUUAACUGCAGGGGUGCGCUGGGAACUGCUGAGCUUGAGUGACGGAGAGGGAGCUGGAAUUCCUGGUGUAGGGGUGAAAUCUGUAGAUAUCAGGAAGAACACCGAUGGCGAAGGCAAGCUCCUGGCCGAUGACUGACGCUG